rnacentral:rRNA from 1 species
UAAGCACCGGCUAACUCCGUGCCAGCAGCCGCGGUAAUACGGAGGUGCAAGCGUUAUCCGGAUUCACUGGGUUUAAAGGGUGCGUAGGUGGCUUUGUAAGUCAGUGGUGAAAGCCCCGGAGCUCAACUCCGGAACUGCCAUUGAUACUGCUUAGCUUGAAUCAACUUGAGGUGGAUGGAAUAUUACAUGUAGCGGUGAAAUGCUUAGAUAUGUAAUAGAACACCGAUUGCGAAGGCAGUUCACUAAGGUUGUAUUGACACUGAGGCACGAAAGCGUGGGGAUCAAACAGGAUUAGAUACCCUGGUAGUCCACGCCUUAAACGAUGUAAACUCGACAUUAGCGAUAUACUGUUAGUGUCCAAGCGAAAGCGUUAAGUUUACCACCUGGGAAGUACGUCCGCAAGGAUGAAACUCAAAGGAAUUGGCGGGGG